CACGUAGGGUGCGAGCGUUUGUCCGGAAUUAUUGGGCGUAAAGAGCUCGUAGGCGGUGUGUCGCGUCGGCCGUGAAAACCUGCAGCUUAACUGUGGGCUUGCGGUCGAUACGGGCAUCACUGGAGUUCGGCAGGGGAGACUGGAAUUCCGUGGUGUAGCGGUGAAAUGCGUAGAGAUCGGGGAGGAACACCAGUGGCGAAGGCGGCUACCUGGACCA
rnacentral:rRNA from 1 species